AGGACGAACGCUGGCGGCGUGCUUAACACAUGCAAGUCGAGCGGAAAGGCCCUUCGGGGUACUCGAGCGGCGAACGGGUGAGUAACACGUGAGCAACCUGCCCUUAGCUCCGGGAUAGCUCCGGGAAACCGGAAUUAAUACCGGAUACGACCACGGCCGACAUCUGCUGUGGUGGAAAGGAUUCCGGCUAAGGAUGGGCUCGCGGCCUAUCAGCUAGUUGGUGGAGUAACGGCCCACCAAGGCGACGACGGGUAGCCGGCCUGAGAGGGCGACCGGCCACACUGGGACUGAGACACGGCCCAGACUCCUACGGGAGGCAGCAGUGGGGAAUAUUGCGCAAUGGGCGAAAGCCUGACGCAGCGACGCCGCGUGGGGGAUGAAGGCCUUCGGGUUGUAAACCCCUUUCAGCAGGGACGAAGCGAAAGUGACGGUACCUGCAGAAGAAGCGCCGGCUAACUACGUGCCAGCAGCCGC
rnacentral:rRNA from 1 species